rnacentral:lncRNA from 1 species
GAAUAAUUGAUUAUGAUUGAUGAAUUAGUAUAUGUAUGUAUAUGUUUGUGAAUACGAUAUUGUUCAUGAUUGAUGAAGUGUUAUAUGUAUAUAUGAUGUUUUAAGAUGUUGAUUACCAUUUGAUGUUGUUUAUAUUGUGAUAUAAUUGUAUACGCAAUACUUGAAUUAUAUAUAAAUAUUUGAGAUAUUGAUGACUUGCAUUUGAUAUUGUUAUAUCAUGUUGUUUUGCAUACUGUCUAUGUUGCUGUUUGUUAUUUAACUAAGGUGCAUGAGUAGGUCUAAGUUGAUUAAGAUGAUGAGGUUCCAAAUUAUUGGAUUAUA